rnacentral:rRNA from 1 species
GCUUGUCUCAAAGAUUAAGCCAUGCAUGUCUUAGUGUAAAUAACUCUUAUGAAACUGCGAAUGGCUCAUUAAAUCAGUUAUCGUUUAUUUGAUGGUCCCUUACUACAUGGAUAACCGUAGUAAUUCUAGAGCUAAUACAUGCACAAAGGCCCGACUCACGGAGGGCUGUAUUUAUUAGAUUCAAACCAACACUUUUUGGUGAUUCAUAAUAACUUGUCGAACCUCAUGCCUUUAUGGUGGAGGUGAUUCAUUCAAAUUUCUGCCCUAUCAACUUUCGAUGGUAGUGUAUUGGACUACCAUGGCUCUCACGGGUAACGGGGAAUUAGGGUUCGAUUCCGGAGAAGGAGCCUGAGAAACGGCUACUACAUCUAAGGAAGGCAGCAGG